CCUACGGGUGGCUGCGGUGAGGAAUAUUUGUCAAUGGGCGAGAGCCUGACCCAGCCAAGUCGCGUGAGGGAGUACUGCCCUAUGGGUUGUAAACCUCUUUUGUCGGGGAGCAAAAGCCAGACGUGUCCUGCUGUGAUAGUACCCGAAUAAAAAGCAUCGGCUAACUCCGUGCCAGCAGCCGCGGUACUACGGGGGAUGCGAGCGUUAUCCGGAGUUAUUGGGUUUAAAUGGUGCGCAGGCGGAUUUUAAGUCAGCGGUCAAAUCGUGGGGCUAAACCCCAUCCAGCCGUUGACACUGGGGAUCUAGAGUGUGCGAGAGGUAUGCGGAAGGCGUGGUGUAGCGGUGAAAUGCAUAGAUAUCACGCAGAACCCCGAUUGCGAAGGCAGCAUACCGGUGCACAACUGACGCUCAGGCACGAAAGCGUGGGUAUCGAACAGGAUUAGAUACCCUUGUAGUC
rnacentral:rRNA from 1 species